UACCUAGGCGACGAUACAUAGCCGACCUGAGAGGGUGAUCGGCCACACUGGGACUGAGACACGGCCCAGACUCCUACGGGAGGCAGCAGUAGGGAAUCUUCGGCAAUGGGGGGAACCCUGACCGAGCAACGCCGCGUGAGUGAAGAAGGUUUUCGGAUCGUAAAGCUCUGUUGUUAAGGAAGAACGAGUGUGAGAACGGAAAGUUCAUACUGUGACGGUACUUAACCAGAAAGGGACGGCUAACUACGUGCCAGCAGCCGCGGUAAUACGUAGGUCCCGAGCGUUGUCCGGAUUUAUUGGGCGUAAAGCGAGCGCAGGCGGUUAGAAAAGUCUGAAGUGAAAGGCAGUGGCUCAACCAUUGUAGGCUUUGGAAACUGUUUAACUUGAGUGCAGAAGGGGAGAGUGGAAUUCCAUGUGUAGCGGUGAAAUGCGUAGAUAUAUGGAGGAACACCGGUGGCGAAAGCGGCUCUCUGGUCUGUAACUGACGCUGAGGCUCGAAAGCGU
rnacentral:rRNA from 1 species